UCUGCUCCCGACCCCGGGCACGCUGCUUCCGCUCCCGACCCCGGGCACGCUGCUUCUGAGCCUGACCCUGGGCACGCUGCUUCUGCUGCCGACCCUGGGCAUGCUGCUUCAGUACUCAGAAUGUAUCCUCCUCACGGGCAUGCCAACUCCAGACACUCGCACGCUGCCUGCCGACGUUUUCUGCUUCCAGAUCCCUUCAUCUCCUGCGAAAGCUUACCCUCCAAGGGACUCAGCGGGUCUUGGUCAGGAGCCAGCUUGGGAAGAACUCAGUCAUGGACUCCACUCCUGAGACCAUCUGGACCAUCUUCCUCUGGAUCCUGACAAAGCCCUCAAGUUACAAAGCGCAACACUGGGUCCCCUGCAGGAGAGAGUUUUGUCUCAUUUACAAGCUGGCCCCGUUCCUCCAGAAGGAGAUGAAUCAGUGUGCGAUGAUGCCAGCCACAAGAAACGGUCCCGCCACAUGACAGCAGGGUCCUGACAGAGGAGAGGCCUCUGGCCCAAGCCCUCGAGGUGGUGGGCUAGGCCAGGCUGCUGGCCAGAGCUGGGAGGACUAGAGUGGGGGCUUUUCUGGGAGCUCAACUUCAAUCCCCUGUUUGAAUGAACUCAGGGUGAAUCCAGGGAUCUGGGCUGCAAGGGCACUCGGCUGUCGUAGGUCACAAGGACAGGGGUUUAGGGGUGUGGAAGUGAAAUGUCUACUCCACCACCAUACAAGGGACCUGGUACCCUCCCUCCAGUACCACAGAAAGCACGGACGUGUCGGAAGGCCUGGCUUCGUUCCUCUGUGACUGUUUCUACUGUCUGAUCUUGAUAGAUAAGUACACCACUUCUGUUUCCUUCUCUGGAAGACAAAAAGUCUGGGUUUUGUGGUUUACGGUCACCUCCAGGAACAGGACACUCCUCUGUCCUUGGGACACAGGGAGGAGAUUUAGAUUUAGGUUGUGGAAAUCACUGGGCAGAAUCUUCCACUUGAGAGUUGGGACUUCCCCCUGGGCCCUGAAGUUGAGUGAAGCUGAAGGUGAGGUCCCCUCCUUCCUGCCCAGCUUCACCUCCACUCCAUUUCUGAAAACCAAGCAGGAAGCACACGGAACCUGUAACGUUAGGUCAGUGUGCACCGCCAUUUAACCAGACACAGACCUGGCUAUAUGUGUGGUUUUAAAUAGAGGUUUCUCAGAGCUGUUUGUUUAGCUUGGAAUGAAAAAAGAUUGAUUAUCUUUAGACCCACUUACUGAGGCUGAUGAGUCUCCAUAUGAGCCGGGCUGGGCUUUGCAGAGGCCCAGCUGAUCUGUGCCCUGGGCAGGCCACAGACUGAUCCCAAGCAGGGCAAGUGUCUGCUACUCAGUUUUCCUUUGUAGAUAUUAGGGAGAGCGAAGUCCAGGAGGGACAGCAUAGGACCUGUGUCACUAACAGAGGCAGUGCCCCUGCAGAGCAUGGAAGAGCAGAAGAGUCCUGCCCACCUCCCAAGCACUUGUUCUAAGAUCCUAGGAGACCUGCUGUCCUCAGUGUGCGUCCUUCCAUCCUAGUGGUGGCUGAGCAGCAGCAAUUUAAUAUUUGAUGAUGUCAAGUCGUAACAAGGGUGUCCACAGACAUAAAGCAAGCCUUGUAGGAGGGGACAUUCCAAUGAGACAGCACUCAUAGCAGGUGACCAUAAUAGAGUCCUGAACACUGGGACCCGAACCAAGGCUGAGGGUUAGGGAUAGAAGUAUGUAUGUCUGUGACUAUGUUCCCUGACGUCACCAGUCCAUCUGGUUUUCUUAGUUUCUCUUCAUGACACUUAGUUCCCUUCAGGAUACUCACUUGUAGUUGAUUUUGACUCAAACCCUGACUUAUAUGAAGGAAUGAUACUAGUUUAAUGGUUCCUGACCCUUUCCAGAGGCACAGUGCUAGUUCUCCAAGUAAGGCCAGGCCUAUUGUGCACAGAAGACAUGCAGGAUGCCAGGCUGGCUCAGAACCCAGCUCUGCCUUCACACCCCCUCUGUGGGCUUCACUUGUUAUAAUGGGUCCAUGCCCCACCCAGAACAUGUCCUGCCUUUUCUUGACUGUGAGUGGGGCCUGAGGGUACCCCCUGCUUUCUCCAGUGGCCCAAAGAUCCCUGACCUGCUUUCUGUCCUUACGACCCUCCCUCUUUUGGCGUCUUUUACUCAAGGCCUUUAGCCUCAUAUUCGUGUCUUCCUCACUAGACUGAGCCUGGACAAGAACCUGUUGUUCAGUCCAACCCCGAUUUGCCUCACCCCAUUCUGUCAGCACCAGAGCUCUAUCGUGGUCAUGUUCUAGGCUUCAGAGAGUGUCUGCCUCCAGUUCCCCAAGGACAGACCACGUGACUCAGGCAAAGCACUUAGCAACAUAAUCAUUCACUGGAGGCCAGCCUGCUUCUGUGGUAGACCAGAGACAUACACCAUGGUUCUGGGAAAGGACCAGCAGGUGGACAGACCCCUUAGGAACAGGCAGCAGGGGAGCUGCCAGCUAGAGUUGUGGCUGAUCACAUGUUUACAACCCAAACUAGCCAGGGAUCUAAGGGGAGCAGAGCAUAGUGGGAGAAAAGGCUUGGUGGAGUCUGUCUUGGGUACAGGGUGGACUCAAACCCCAUUCCUGGCUUUGUCCCUAAUAUCCAGGGUGACCUUGGUUCAUUUAACUUCCUCCAAUGUGGAAUCAAGGGCCCUGGACUUGCUUAUCAGACAGCAGACUGAGCUCUCUUUUCUCCAUUUCUCAUUAUCAAAUUCCCACCUAGUAAGUAAGUCACUGUGUCACAGAAUAAACGGUGGCAUCGUGUCUAUGGAAGAAAGGAAAGAGAGCUGUCACAGCAGGCCAGGGUAGAAGAGAGGAGGAACUGGAUAUCCACAUGCCUCAGUUUCCACUUCUACGUGGAGGAAGUUUUAUGUCACAAUGCCCUAUUUUUCCAGAAUUCCACACUGUCUUUCCUCAAAUGGAUGCCUGGCCUUUACAAAUGGUCUUGUGUUCCCCGGGAAGCAAGGAUGAUGACAAAAACACAAGAUCUUUUCACCAACAGCUGCCACACGGGGCACUGUUAAAAAGCCAUAGAAAUGCCACCUCCCCAGUCUGGGCCCCCACAGCCAUUUAUCACCCUUAUGGUUGUGGAUAGCCUUGAGAGGAAACUGACCUUGAGGAGGGAAAGGCUUCCUUAUGGGGUGCUGAGGGAAACAGAGGCACUGGAGGAGGACAUGUGAGACAAGGAGGGGACAAUGACUUCACGAAUCCACAACCUGGGUCCACCUGAGAGUCCUGGUUACCUCUAGGGAAGCCUGACAGAGACCCAGUGGAGGAAGAGUCAUUGCCAUGGGCAUGGGGCAUAGGGAGGAAGGGAGGGUUUGUCACACAGAGAGAAGUAAAAGGUGUCCCUGUGCAUAUAGUCUCGUUAACAAUGGAGUCUCAGCUUCAUCCACGGCCAAAGAAGGCUGUGAAACCGAAAUCCACACAUACAAGGACCAUUGCCAGAGAAGGCAGAGCCCAUGGCUGGGGACCUUGAUAAACACAUGAAGGCCUUCUAGAUAAUUCCUUCAUCAUGCUUCCGCUUCCAUCAUCUACCCCGAGGUCGCCGUUUCACCCCAUGGCACAUGAACAUUUAUGCAUAUUUGCUCCCAGGUACAGAUGCUUCUAUGCACACCAUUAUAGGCACAAUGAAACACAAAGGUACCCGUAGACAGUGCUCACCCUUGCCCAGGUACAAAUGUGCCAGCAUACUCACUAGAAUUGGCCCUGGCAUAAGACAGAAUGGAGUCAACCAAGGCCUGCUCCGCGGAGCUCGCAUUCUAUGCGUCGGCUGCAGAGUCACGCAAAGACACAUCCCACAGACCCCUGCAUGCAUGCAUCACCUAAACAGUGACCCCACACAAAUACUCAGACAGUCCCCAGACAGAGUGCCUGCUACGUGCAUCCCAGAAAGUGUGGCUAGCCCUGGAGAUGCACAGGUAAGAGUGACAGUAUGACCACUCUGGUCACAAACACCCAGCACAAAAUAUCCACACCCAGCCUCAACCACGUCAGGCUCACCAGGCAUGCACAUGUGCAUCAUGAGUUUAAGGUCAAUUCACUAGUCAAGGCAUUUGCAUGGUGUCCCAGAAAACAGCUCAUUUCGAACCAGGGCCCUUCAGUUCAGGGCAGACCUGCAAGCCUUGCUCUCUCCACCUGGCUACAACUCUCCUUUCACCUAGAACCUUCUGUACCCCUCCCCAUCAGCUCCCUGGCUUUAUCAAAGUGCCACAGGAAUCCUGCCUGCAUCCUGCAGUGUGUCUGGUCCCACCCAGUAUGACUCCAGAUGUCCCCCAGACUCCCCUCAGUCAGCACAGGGGCCAAGUGCAGGCCCAGACUCCUGGGGUUUUUGCUGAGACAUUAUAUUGCAACACGGUCUGUUUCUUCCAGACUAUUUCUUUCUUUCUUUCUUUUUUUUUUUUUUUUUUUUUUUUUUUUUUUUUUUUUUUUUUUGCUUUUGCUUUUGCUUUUAAAAAAUCAGAAAUAACUUGGCUGUAAAACUGUGCUUUGGGCAGAAAGCAGACUCUCAGGGUCAGAGCCCAGGAGAAGAUUUUUUGCUAUACAGUUUCAGGGAAAAUAGCAGGCACUCAGCAAUUUUGAUUCUUCAAGGGACAGAGAGAAAAUACAAUUGGAGUGGAUUCGGGGCUGCACAGACUCCUCUCCAGACCAAGGCUCACAUGCUGGAGAGCUUGACAGUGGGCAGAGGGGUCAGAGGGGUCAGAGGGGGCCAAGCAGAGGUGGGGGGUGGAUUUGCUCUGGAUUUGCUGUAUUGGUUCUACAUAGAAGACCCCCCACACCAGAAGCCCCAGGAAGAAAGUUGGUCAGGAUAGUGGUUUUGGAUCUUGGCCCUCAGUUUGUAGCAGGUCUCUGCUGUCUAUGCAACUGCCAUGUGUGGGAGAGGUCCCGUGACUUCCAGGGCAAAAGAGGGGUUCUGAGAUAGCGUGGGAUGCAUCCAUGUGAUAGCUGUGUAACCUCGGGAAAGAUAAGUUGCCCUUUAACCCACAGACUUGCCAUAUCUUGGCGUGUGCUAAAACCUAUCUCGUGCCAACACUCUAACCCUGGGAAGCCACUGCUGUGCUGGGAGAGAAAUGGGCCUAGAAAGAAGCUGUCCUAACUGCCAGUCAUGAUGGGAGUGGAAGCAGGUGUCAGGAAAGGUCCAGUGUUGGAGUCCUCUUGAGUCCAGGGGCACCUUCCCACAGAAAGCCAGGGGAGCCAAUGAUAGCAAAGGUAGGAGGAGCCAUCCAGAGGGAAUUGUGGGCCUAAGCUGUGAAAGCGGAUGUGGACUGCAUGUGUGUAUGUCAGGCCACACCUCACUGUCCUAGUUGGUUGAGCCUCGGUCCCUCCACACUUCCUUGCAGUGCCAGCUCUGCAAAGGAGGACCGUCAUGGGCGGGAUGGUCACAGCUGGUUCCCUCAAUCCUUUUCAGGACAUGUGACCUCACGAUGGAAAGAGAAGACAGCGGUCUGGUGUGAUGUGAAGCCCGGCAACUGACCCCACUGAGCAGGGCUUCUCCUCCAGCCACCACCCAGGUGGCCCAGAGUCCCAAACCAGCCCAAAUCAGCAUCCUGCCUGUCAAGGACCGAGGGGAGGAGCUAGCUUCAUUUUCCACCUCCCAUUCAGGCGAAGGGGAGCCUGGAGUGCUGUGACUACUAACUUCACAUCUUAAUUUUCGAAAAGGAAGUAGAUUCUUUGCAGCCUUUGCUGUAAUUGACUCUGGGGCUGUGACUUUAUCUCGCAAAUGGUUAUUUGUGGACUUUCGGAAACCUGCGUCAUGGAGGGAAAUUACAUACUUAGAGAUCUGCAGAACCGUGGAUUAGGGUCCCAGCAGAUUCUAAUGAUUCUCUGGGUGCCAUUAGGGGAUAACGUGAAAAUGCAUAUUUAGAGGGUGAUUAAGAAGCAAGCAAGCACACAAGGCAAAAUUCCUCCUGGAAACUGGUGAUUACUCUCAGCGGGAGGUGAUUUCUCCUGUUAGAGAUCUCAGGGACUGCCUUGCUGUGUCCCCCAAACUCCGGGGAGGGGGGGGGGAAUCCUGCAACAGAUCAUAAGCAAUCAGAAACUUCACCAACUGAGAAAGCCACACUGGCCUUACGAGAACUGAACCUCUUGGCCACUCUGUAAGACUCCCUGAGCCAUCAGGCUGUUAUUUAAAAACUCAGGCCUGGGACUUGUGGGAAGGCAUAACUCAGUCAGCCAAGUGCUUGCUGAUCAAGUGUGAAGACCCCCCAGUUCAACCCCCAGAACUAACUGUAAGGAAUAAAUAAAUAAAGCCAGACCUGGUGUCUGGAAAGAUGGCUCAGGAGUGAAGAACCCUCAUCCAUUUCACAGUGCCCACAUUGUGCCACUCACAACUGCCUUUUACUCUGUCUCUAGGGGAUCUAAAGCCUCAGGCCCCUUUGAUCAUCAGAAAUCAUGUGUGAACACCCUUACCCCCACACAUCAUUAAAAAUAAAUCUUUAAACGAUGCCAGGCCUGAUGGCACACACUUGUCAUUCAGUUCUGAGAGAUGGAGGCUGGUAGGUCCCUGCAGCUUGCUGCUCAGUCUGUUGAGACUCUGUCUCAAAAAUCAGGGUGGACAGCAUCAAGAAAGGACAUCCGAAUUUGUCCUCUGGUCUCCAUAUGGUUGUCCAUACAUACACAGUCUGUUUCCCAAGCACAACAUUGCACUCAAGCUAGACUUGUAUCAUACGUGUUCUAGAACCACAUUCUGGCAUGUAUAGGACCCAAAUUGCUUCUCUGACAAUUUAUUUAGCUGCAAUUGAAGUCAUAGGUAAGGUUUACCUCCCCUCUGUGCAUGUGGAAGGUGUCACCUCACUGCGAGUCCCCCAGGUCUCUCCCUGUACAUCUUAGAACCCACAGCAGGGUCCUUCACCUUCAUGGCUGAAAUUUACCAUUUCAGGCCUGUUCAAAGGCUUUUCCUCCAACACGCCACUGUCCCCCAAAGUGGAAUAAGCCAUGACUCUUCAUGGGGAGGAGCCUGGGGUGGGGUCAGUGGGAUUCUUUGCUGAGGACUUCAGCCCCCAUACUCCUGGUACCCAGGCUUCUCUCAACUUCCGCUUUCAAAGCUUUGCUAACCUGGGGCAAAUCUGCAAGAAAAAGAUCCCACAGCUGUGAGGUCUAACCCUGACAAAAGGUGACACUCAUGUGGUUGUUUGAGACAGGGUCUCAUCUAGCCUAGGUUAGCUAUGGAUGACACAGACCACCCUUCUGUCUCUAC